rnacentral:rRNA from 1 species
UUUCCCCCGGGGAAACUAGCAUAUCAAUAAGCGGAGGAAAAGAAACUAACAAGGAUUCCCCUAGUAACUGCGAGUGAAGCGGGAAAAGCUCAAAUUUAAAAUCCCUUCCGGGAGUUGUAAUCUAGAGACGUGUUUUCGGUCGUUGCCUCGGACAAGUCCCUUGGAAUAGGGCGUCAUAGAGGGUGAGAAUCCCGUACUUGCCGAGCUCCCAAUGACUAUGUGAUACACGUUCGAAGAGUCGAGUUGUUUGGGAAUGCAGCUCAAAAUGGGUGGUAAACUCCAUCUAAAGCUAAAUAUUGGCGAGAGACCGAUAGCGAACAAGUACCGUGAGGGAAAGAUGAAAAGCACUUUGGAAAGAGAGUUAAACAGUACGUGAAAUUGUUGAAAGGGAAGCGCUUGAAGUCAGUCGCGUUGCAGGGACUCAGCCGUCAAGGUGCAUUUCUCUGUAACGGGUCAACAUCAAUUUCGGCCGCGGGAAAAGGGCUUGGGGAAUGUGGCAGCUUCGGCUGUGUUAUAGCCUCUUGUCGUACACCGCGGCCGGGAUUGAGGACUGCUAUUACAGGAUGUUGACAAAAUGGCUUUAAGCGACCCGUCUUGAAACACGGACCAAGGAGUCUAACAUGUCUGCGAGUGUUCGGGUGUCAAACCCGUGCGCGUAAUGAAAGUAAACGUAGGUGGGAGGCUUCGGCCGCACCAUCGACCGAUCCGGAUCUCUUGUGAUGGAUUUGAGUAAGAGCAUAUAUGUUGGGACCCGAAAGAUGGUGAACUAUGCCUGAAUAGGGCGAAGCCAGAGGAAACUCUGGUGGAGGCUCGUAGCGAUUCUGACGUGCAAAUCGAUCGUCAAAUUUGGGUAUAGGGGCGAAAGACUAAUCGAACCAUCUAGUAGCUGGUUCCUGCCGAGC